CGGAUUGGAGUCUGCAACUCGACUCCAUGAAGCUGGAUUCGCUAGUAAUCGCGCAUCAGCCAUGGCGCGGUGAAUACGUUCCCGGGCCUUGUACACACCGCCCGUCAAGCCAUGGAAGCCGGGAGUGCCUGAAGUGUGCAACCGCAAGGAGCGCCCUAAGGUAAAAACUGGUGACUGGGGCUAAGUCGUAACAAGGUACC
rnacentral:rRNA from 1 species